CGGGACGGGUGAGUAACGCGUGGGCAACCUGCCCCAUACAGGGGGAUAACAGCCGGAAACGGCUGCUAAAACCGCAUAAGCGCACAGCGGCGCAUGACGCAGUGUGAAAAACUGAGGUGGUAUAAGAUGGGCCCGCGUCUGAUUAGCUGGUUGGGAGGGUAACGGCCUACCAAGGCGACGAUCAGUAGCCGGCCUGAGAGGGCGGACGGCCACAUUGGGACUGAGACACGGCCCAGACUCCUACGGAAGGCAGCAG
rnacentral:rRNA from 1 species